rnacentral:piRNA from 1 species
UGUGGUUUGGAUAAAAAAAAAAAAAGUGGA